GGAUUAAUUYGAUGCAACGYGAAGAACCUUACCAAGGCUUGACAUAUACGAGAACGGGCCAGAAAUGGUCAACUCUUUGGACACUCGUAAACAGGUGGUGCAUGGUUGUCGUCAGCUCGUGUCGUGAGAUGUCGGGUUAAGUCCCGCAACGAGCGCAACCCUCGUUCUAUGUUGCCAGCACGUAAUGGUGGGAACUCAUGGGAUACUGCCGGGGUCAACUCGGAGGAAGGUGGGGAUGACGUUWAAUCAUCAUGCCCCUUAUGUCUUGGGCUUCACGCAUGCUACAAUGGCCGGUACAAAGGGCUGCAAUACCGCGAGGUGGAGCGAAUCCCAAAAAGCCGGUCCCAGUUCGGAUUGAGGUCUGCAACUCGACCUCAUGAAGUCGGAGUCGCUAGUAAUCGCAGAUCAGCAACGCUGCGGUGAAUACGUUCCCGGGUCUUGUACACACCGCCCGUCAAGUCAUGAAAGUCGGUAACACCUGAAGCCGGUGGCC
rnacentral:rRNA from 1 species